UACGUAGGGGGCAAGCGUUGUCCGGAAUCAUUGGGCGUAAAGCGCGCGUAGGCGGCCCGAUCAGUCCGCUGUAAAAGUCCAGGGCUCAACCCUGGAAAGCCGGUGGAUACUGUCGGGCUAGAGUCCGGAAGAGGCGAGUGGAAUUCCUGGUGUAGAGGUGGAAUGCGCAGAUAUCAGGAGGAACACCGAUAGCGAAGGCAGCUCGCUGGGACGGUACUGACGCUGAGGUGCGAAAGCGUGGGGAGCGAACAGG
rnacentral:rRNA from 1 species